AGAGUUGAUCAUGGCUCAGGAUGAACGCUAGCGACAGGCUUAACACAUGCAAGUCGAGGGGCAUCACGGGAGUAGCAAUACAACUGGUGGCGACCGGCGCACGGGUGAGUAACGCGUAUGCAACCUACCUAUCAGAGGGGAAUAACCCGGCGAAAGUCGGACUAAUACCGCAUAAAACAGGGGCACCGCAUGGUGAUAUUUGUUAAAGAAAUUCGCUGAUAGAUGGGCAUGCGUUCCAUUAGGUAGUUGGUGAGGUAACGGCUCACCAAGCCGACGAUGGAUAGGGGAACUGAGAGGUUGGUCCCCCACACUGGUACUGAGACACGGACCAGACUCCUACGGGAGGCAGCAGUGAGGAAUAUUGGUCAAUGGGCGGGAGCCUGAACCAGCCAAGUCGCGUGGAAAAGGAAGAAGGAUCUAUGGUUACGUAAACUUCUUUUGCGAGGGGAAUAAAGUGCAGGACGUGUCCUGUUUUGUAUGUACCCUGAGAAUAAGGAUCGGCUAACUCCGUGCCAGCCGCAGC
rnacentral:rRNA from 1 species